rnacentral:lncRNA from 1 species
CCUCCUCACUAUGCCUUGAAAACAUCGGUGGGCGUACUCUCAUUUCAUUCUUUUUUCCAAUGUGUCAAUUCAAUGAACUUUUUGUUCAUUGUUAGCAUUUUGUCUUAUCAACGGUGGAAGAAGGGCAGUGUUUUCCUUACAGUGCCUCGGAAAAAUUAGAGUGAAUUCUGGUUUUUUCCAAUUUUUUGUUUGCGUUUUUGGAAUGCAAUGAAAUGCUUAGUUUACUGUUGAAACUUCGUCUUUUUAAGCCAAAAAAACAGCCCCAGAGAAGCCCUUCAGCCACGCCUUUUAGAAACUCUUUCAGAAGCUACCAAGUACCUGCCAAUGAAGGAAAUUUGUUGAAAGUAACCUUGUAAAUCUGCAAACAAAACAGAAACAGACAUAGGUGGGAAUCAUGACCAAAAACAAUUAUAAAAAUUUAAAACUUGGAAAGUUUCGUCCAGUUUUUGAAACCCAUUACCAACUGAUAAAAAUAAAAACUUUUAAAAAGAUAAAACUCAAUCACAAUAUGAUGUGAUAUAAUUCUUUUAAAUUUUUUAGUUUUAUCGGUUGACGAUGGGUUGGGAAACUAGUCGAAAUUUUCUGAGUUUUUAUUAAUUGUUUUUAGCCUUAUUUCUUACUUAUAUUUUGUUUCUGUUGGGUAUAUUAGGCUACCAUAGUGUCUCACAAUUUUUCUGAACUUAGCAAGCAAUGAAUUUUUGAAAAGUCAAGAGAUUACAUAGUAAUUAAAUAACAAUUAAAGCAAUGAGGAAAAUGUACCUCUUUCAAUGCAUCUUCAAACAAAUUCACCACUUUUCAAUAAUUGAUGAUUCUAUCGCAAGUUUUCUGUUUUAGAUAAUGCAUAAAACAGCCUAAGCAGCAGAAUGUUUCGGCAGAGAUCCUCAGAAGGCAGUCCGGUGGCUCCUGAUGGCAGAGAUGAAAGUGAAACAUCUAAGUCAAGGGCUUCUGUAACUCGUUCCAUAAGCAGUAACAAUGCAAGUGCUAUGAAUAUUGAUUCUAUCAAGAAUGAACCUGAUGUCAAAGAAAAACUGAGCAAUCUUGGAAAUGUAAAUUUAGCUUUACUAACAAAACACCUUUUUCGAAAGAAGAUCUAAAAGAGGUAAGCAUCAAUCUAUUUAUAUUAGGUACUGAUUCACAAUUUAAUUAGUCAUGCAAUUGGUGACUGUAUUUCAUUAUUUUGCUACACAAUUUCAAGAUUAAUCAUUAGUUUUUUUUUUAUUUUUUUAUAUACUUCAUUUAUGAACAAGACUACAGAGUAUUAAUUUUUUUACAUUAUAAGGUUAAAAUAUGAUUAGUAAAUGAACUUUUGAGUCUAACUUAAUAUUAGACUCUAACUUAUAACUAAAUUAUACAUAAGUACUAUGUAUAAUUGUUAAUUUAGUUGUUAGUUCCUCCCCCACGCCAGUGUCAAAAGAUGAAAAGCUAACGAACGCUGAAUAUAUAACGUUAAAUAUGGGAUUUUUUACUCCCCCCCCCUCCUCUUUGAACACUAUUGUGAAGUGGGUCCCUAUCCUUUAACAUUGAGAAAAAAAAGAAGAAAAAAUGUAACCCUCUUUUCAACCUUCUCUUUAGAGGGUCACAUAUUUCAUAAACAGCAUCUAAGGCCUUUUUUUAAAUUUUACAUUAGGGCCUUCAGAUCUAACAAAAUUUUAUGCUCGCUGCCUACUACCACUUUACUUACAAUGAUUGGAAACUAAAUCUCCUUGUUGAAAACAUUAAUAUUUCCAUUUGGAGUUGAGCUCCACAUUGUUUAUGGCUAUAGUUUUUCUCUAAAUUUUUCAGGACAUAAUUUGUAAAUCCAAGGGGAAAAUUGUCAUCACUGUGAUGUAAAAGCUCAUGAAAAUAGUGAAAUAGGUGGCAACUGUCACUAAAAACAUGCUGCGUGCCUAAUAUUUGUUGCCCUUGAUUUUUGCCCUCUGGUACAAAGAAAAGUUAAUGUAGGUUUCUCUAAAAUUAUACCUGUGCUCUUGUUGCUCAUAUUAUUCCAAGAAAAAUUCAAUAAGCACUUACUUUAAUCUGGGUCCACAAUAUUCUGCAGAAAAAAGGAAAAUAUUAAAAUUAGAAGUUCCUCGCAGAAUAGUGUGAACUCAGCACUAUUCUACCAUCCUGUUAGCAACAGUAUUUGGGCCACUUUUUUAGUAUUUCUUUCCUCUCUUAAUCAUGUACAAGUGCGCUUCAUGGAUUUAGAAUGAGAAAACGUGUGCAUUUGAUAAAAAUUAUUUUUAAGUGCUCACCUCUCUUUUCAUUUUAGGAUGAUAUGCCCUGGACCUGGGAUGCUAUUUUUACCGAAGUUUCCUCAGAAUUGCGAUCACAGUGGGAGAAGUCAAAGCAGGAUGGAACACCCUAAUUCUUGCAACAAACUGUGAGCAUCUAACUUCCUAUUUUAAAUUGUUAAUUAUUUAUUGAUUGUUCUCCCACAAUUCGUAUUUUCUUUCAUUCUUUCCGUCACAGUCUAGAUCUCUCUAUGUUUCUGAGUUGUUUGUGAGAAAUUCCUGUGACAACUAGGUAGUCCUUCCUUUCUCCCAUUCGAAUACUUAGGUGUGAUUGCUGAAUACUUAGGUAUGAUUGCUGAAUCUCGUCAUUUUUUUUAAUAAAUGGGGCCAUUAUGGUGAAAGCUACUUUCUUACUAAAAAAAUUCAACCUUGGUUUCUUUUUGGCUUCUCAUGAAAUUAUUUGAAUAAUUAUUGUAACGAGAGUAGAAAGGAAAGGACGUUUUGUACACAUAAGAUAAAGUUUUUGAUGCUAGGCUGCGCCGCACUUAUCGUUCAGUGCACGGCGGCGUGACGUGCGCUGCACUGUAUCUAAAACGCCUUCAAACAUGGAUGAUACAUUUUUAUAUACGCAAGGCUCGACGGACGCAGUCACGCAGCUAGGCAACCAUUAUAUCGCGGAUCAUUACGUUCAGGAGCGAUAUUGAUAAGUGGACCACGUUUACCAGAAAGGAACCAAGUCACAUCAGCUAUUGUCAAAUUUAAUUGGGCAAUUCUAUGUUUUACGUGAUAACGGUUCGGCGGAUUUUUGCGCAAAUUUCAGUGAAUUUUCUGCCUACUGCGGAACAAAUUCCUUAAAAUUUCCAAACGAAUCCGCAUAAACGUUCUCUUGUAAAAAAUUCAAUUGCCCUUUUAAUUUCGGCAGUAGCUGAUGUGGCUUCGUUCCUCUCUGCAAAACGGGGUCCAAUUGUAAGCACCUCUCUUAGUGAAUCAAAUUGCCCUUGCUCGACCUUGAAUUUGU